rnacentral:lncRNA from 1 species
CGACCGGAGUUAUCGAAGGGGCGUUAUGGACACGUGUCUACUCAUUUAGACAACCCUACGUGUCCCGUUACUGGUCCCGAGAGACGAGCGCAUAACCUUCUUUGAAAAACGUCACACCCACGUCCAUAUACUUCUACUUACAGUCCUGCGCACAGGGAAAAUGGAAAUGGAGGAGUGAGCAACAAGUUACUCAGUGAAGUGGUUCUAGACCAGCCUGCCCGCAUGACUCUCUAUACUACUCUAUGCGGGAACUAGGACUGACUAGCCACUACAAACAGUUAAUGCAUUUUUAUCAUUUCCUAUCGUCAUCGGUAAUUUCCACAUUCACUUCAUUCAUUUCUAACAACCUAGCGAUCAAUCAAUACAAUGAUCUCGCUCAUUGCCACACACGUCGAACCCUAGACUUAACCGACUCAUCUUACCAGACCGACUCGAUCCUAAGACACCUUUAACUUCCCGUUACCCGACCAUGAGCUAAAGACCCUACAAUGCACAUCUUUUCAUCUUUUCAUCUUUUCCUCUUUUCCUCUUUUCCUCUUUUCCUCAGUGGGUAGCCCCCCACUAGGCUUCUACCCCAUAUUCAUGUGGAUUCGCCACAUCUCCUAUGGGUGCUUCCAUAUUCAUGUGGAUUCGCCACAUCUCCUAUGGAUACCUAGCGUGGACUACUUACCCCACCUACAAACCUUAGACUCACUAUAUGCUUUCCCACCCAUGCUUAACCUUAACAUCGUUCUUUCAUACUUUUACUUAUCCUUUCACUUCCUUAUCGUCUUCACUUAAUCCCUCCCAUUCCCAAUUACUUUCCCUUUUCAUUCAUACUUGUACUUGGACUCAAUCACUAGACGCCACCCGUUAUCGGUGUCACACACAAUACACAUCGCAUUCAAGUUCUACUUCAAUAUCAUUAUCAAUCAUUACUCAUCUAUCAUCCUAGCACUCAUUUCUCUCUAGCAUCCUAACUUUAAUCACAAACCACACAUGGGACUACACAUUCAAACAUACAAGCAUCACUCAUCAACCAAUCAACAUCACCACAACAUAGAUCAGUUCAUCAAGUCCCAUUUAUCAGUAUGAGGGUUCUUAUGCAUCAUGAUCCAUUCAUCUAUCAUCCUAGCAAUACCAUGUCCUAUCAUCCUAACUCCCAAUCAGGGUCUAAUCAAACCUAACUCCAACAUAUAGGAGUAUACAGAACCAUGAAAGAAGGUUGGGUUCGAAACACUCCACCUUAGUCUUAGAUCUGGAUCUGGAAACGUGGAUUGAGAAGGUUGAGAUCUGGUCAGCACCACCACUUCACGGCGCCGGCGAGAGGGAGAGAGAGAGAGAGCGUGCGACGGCGAGGAGAGAGAGAGAGAGCGACGCGCGGGAGAGAGAGAGGAGAGAGAGAGACGGCACAGGAGAGAAGGAGAGAGAGCUCGACGGCUAGGGUUUUCGACCUCCGGGAAUUCUCUGCAGAGCUUCGCUUCAGAUUUGUGAUGAGGCAAAAAGGGAGACUGCAUCUCUUUUUAUAGUAAAGGGAAGGGGAAGCCCUAGGGUUUUGCUAAAUGGGCCGUAGAGAAGCCCAUAUUCUUUGGGAAAUUUUUAUGGGCCAGGAACCGGGCCGUUACAAUCCUCCCCCGUUAAUCGGAAUUCGUCCCCGAAUUCCAAAGCCCACAUCUUUCAGACCAAUCGUUCGUUACCAAAAUGGAUUCACACAUUCACACAACAAUCAAGGGAGGCAUACAUGACACGAUAACUCUACUGGAAUCUUUAAAACCAACGAAGGAAUGUCAUAAAUAAUAAAAGGAGUAGGACUACAAUAGUUUGUAAAAGAAAACCCAGCACAUCUGCACAAUACAGAAUGCCGUAAAUAAGGGAAGGAACACCAACUCCAAUAACCAAUAAAUGAAAUAAAACCAAUAGCGAAACACGUGUCCUACUCCUACGAAUCGUCUCUAGGAUCUCGUCUAGCCACAUUGACAUGGCGAGGGGCAGCGGGACUCGGAUCCCAGGUCUUCAUCGCCCUCUGCGACGCGGUCCUCCUCGGCCUCCGCCUCCUUUCCCGCCAACCACUCCUCCGCGUGCAGUGCUUGGUUAGCCAUCCUUCUCACCAGUGCAAAUUCCAGAGGCUCCAGGACUCCCACGAGUUCUUCACGAAUAUCCCCACGUAGCCCGGCCCUAAACAGAUGACACCACUCCUCAGCUGGCUUCGGUUGACACAUCUUGGCCGUAUCCAAGAACUCCUCCAGGUAAUCUCUCACCUUGCGUGGCUUCUGAACCAUCUGGACCAGUACGUCACAAUCACAUGUUACUGUAGGUGGUUUUCGCGGACGCCCCCGCUUUCCCUUAGCGGGUGUCCCUACCGGCACCUCAUGGCCAUCGACGUCCCCACCCGGGUUUCCUCCUUCCAUGCUCGAGAGAGCGGCCACAUCGGCUGCAAUCUUCUCUUCUGCCUCCAUGGCGAAGCCUGCCAUCCGCCUCACUAACGCGAACUCCAAGGGCUCCAAAACACCCCUCAACUGCGCCUGGAGCUCCUGGCGUAGCCCGUUCUUAUACCAUAUGCACCACGUCUCUGCAUUCUUCGGUUUGCACAGCUUGGCUUGGUUGAUGAAGUCCUCCGUGUAUCCAGCGACUGAUCGGUCCUCCUGAGCAUUCUUGCUCAGCACUCCACACUGGCACUUCCCGGUGAACGCCCUUGGGGGUCCCCCUGCUGCACUUGGCGUCUUGCAGGGACGGCCACGCUUCCUCGGGGGUCCCUCUUCGGUUGCAAGCUGGAACCUCGCAUUGCCCUGCAGUAGGCGUGUCUCCAUAGCCAUCCUCUGGAAAUGAGGCAUCAACACCUUAUGCCUCACAGUCUGCUCGUGCGGGUACCUGAAUGGGAACUCCCUGUACUGUUCUUCAGGAUCCGGAAACAUGGGUAGCACCAAGUUACCCUCCCUGUCAUAGUGACGCCUUUGGGCAUACUCCCUGGUGUUCCUCCGUCCGUAGUGCAUACGCGGCAUCCUCCACUCGUAAUGGUCAAGCGAAAACAUCCUGCAAUAAAAUUUCAAUCAGAACCAUAAUAGAAGUAUGGAUAUAGUGGGAUUUUCAAUUAAUUUUUCACAAUCCGAAAAUACUUAGUAAUAUUGCAAUUUUUUUUUUUUUUUUUUUUUUUUUUUUUUUUUUCCGAAAACGAAAUAUAAAUUUUUUUUUUUUUUUUUUUUUAAAACGUCGGAAAUGCCGAUCCCUUAGGCAGAACUAAGGGAUCUUAACCCGCUCUGAUACCAAUUGUAACAGCCCGAUCCCCCGGCGUCCGACCGGUUAUCGAAGGGGCGUUAUGGACACGUGUCUACUCAUUUAGACAACCCUACGUGUCCCGUUACUGGUCCCGAGAGACGAGCGCAUAACCUUCUUUGAAAAACGUCACACCCACAUCCAUAUACUUCUACUUACAGUCCUGCGCACAGGGAAAAUGGAAAUGGAGGGGUGAGCAACAAGUUACUCAGUGAAGUGGUUCUAGACCAGCCUGCCCGCAUGACACUCUAUACUACUCUAUGCGGGAACUAGGACUGACUAGCCACUACAAUCAGUUAAUGCAUUUUUAUCAUUUCCUAUCGUCAUCUGUAAUUUCCACAUUCACUUCCAUUCAUUUCUAACAACCUAGCGAUCAAUCAAUACAAUGAUCUCACUCAUUGCCACACACGUCAAACCCUAGACUUAACCGACUCAUCUUACCAGUCCGACUCGAUCCUAUGACACCUUUAACUUCCCGUUACCCGACCAUGAGCUAAAACCCUACAAUGCACAUCUUUUCAUCUUUUCAUCUUUUCCUCUUUUCCUCUUUUCCUCUUUUCCUCAGUGGGUAGCCCCCCACUAGGCUUCUACCCCAUAUUCAUGUGGAUUCGCCACAUCUCCUAUGGGUGCUUCCAUAUUCAUGUGGAUUCGCCACAUCUCCUAUGGAUACCUAGCGUGGACUACUUACCCCACCUACAAACCUUAGACUCUCUAUAUGCUUUCCCACCCAUGCUUAACCUUAACAUCGUUCUUUCAUACUUUUACUUAUCCUUUC